CAGCUAGGUAGCGUUACCUAGAUAGCUAACCUCUAUUGACCAUCGAAGUCCUGUCUCCAACGCGGAUUAAAGACUACAUGGGGUCUCUCCAGAGAUGUUCGAUCGGGUUCAAGUCCGGGCUCUGGCUGGGCCACUUAAAGACAUUAAAAAACUUGGUAUCUCAUAUUUGCUUGCAACUCCUCCCAGCUUGUGACGGAGUAAGCAAACAUUUCCAAGGAUUUGUAGCGGGCAGUGGAGAGUAUGUUUUGGUAAGUCUCAAUUUACAUCUCAGUCCUCCUCGUUUCCCCCUUUGUUGUCUCUGGUUCCUCCUGGGAGUAGAUCCUUCAUGGGAAAUCAUUGGGGUUUAACAGCUCCACUGGUAUAUUCCAUGAUGGAUUAACGGGGCCCGUGGCAGUGCGUAGAUGCAGUAGGAACUCCAUUGACAGUGGGGAGAAGACACCCAUGGGAUUACGCGGUGUAUCGAACUUCAGGGAAAACACAGCGUCGGUGCCCACCGACAGGAGAAACAGCAGCAGCAGUUGGUAUGAGAAACUUUCAGAUUCCUCUUAGCAAGGCAGGAGGAGGGUUGUAAAAACAACAUGAGUUAGUGGCAAGAAAAGGUAUGUAAACCCUUUGGACAUACCUGGAUUUCUGCAUAAAUUGGUCAUACAAUUUAAACUGAACUUCAUCUAGGUCACAACAGACAAACACAAUCUGCUUAAACUAAUAACACAAACAAGUAUACAUUUUCAUGUUUUUAUUGAACACACCGUGUAAACAUUCACAGUGCAGGGUGGAAAAAGUAUGUGAUCCCUUGCAUUUAAUAACUGGUUGAACCUCAACCAAAUGUUUUCUGUAGUUGCGGAUCAGACCUGCACAACGGUCAGGAGGAAUUUUGGACCAUUCCUCUUUACAAAACGGUUUCAGUUCAGCAAUAUUCUUGGGAUGUCUGGUGUGAACUGCUCAGGUCAUGCCACAGCAUCUCAAUCGGGUUGAGGUCAGGACUCUGACUGGGCCACUCUAGAAGGCAUAUUUUCUUCUGUUGAAGUCAUUCUGUUGAUUUACUUCUGUGUUUUGGGUCGUUGUCCUGUUGCAUCACCCAACUUCUGUUGCGCUUCAAUUGGCGGAUAGAGCCUUACAUUCUCCUACAAAAUGUUAUGAUAAACUUUAAUUAAUUUUCCCGUCGAUGAUAGAAAGCUGUCCAGGCCCUGAGGCAGCAAAGCAGCCCAAAACAUGAUGCUCCCUCCACCAUACUUUACAGUUGGGAUGAGAUUUUGCUGUUGGUGUGCUGUGCCUUUUUUCCCCCUACACAGUGUUGUGUGUUCCUUCCAAACAACUCAACUGUAGUUUCAUCUGUCCACAGAAUAUUUUGCCAGUAGCGCUGUGGAACAUCCAGGUGCACUUUUGCAAACUUCAGACGUGCAGCAAUGUUUUUUUUUGGACAGCAGUGGAUUCUUCCGUGGUGUCCUCCCAUAAACACCAUUCUUGUUUAGUGUUUAUCGUAUCAUAGACUCGUCAACAGAGACGUUAGCAAGUUCCAGAGAUUUCUGUACGUCUUUAGCUGACACUUGGAUUCUUCUUAACCCCAUUGAGCAUUCUGCGAUGUGCUCUUGCAGUCACCUUUGCAUGACAGCCACUCCUAGGGAGAGUAGCAACAGUGCUGAACUUUCUCCAUUAAAAGACAAUUUGUCUUACUGUUGACUGAUGCACAUCAAGGCUUUUAGAGAUACUUUUGUAACCCUUUCCAGCUUUAUGCAAGUCAACAAUUCUUUAUCUUAGGUCUUCUGAGAUCUCUUUUGUUCGAAGCUUGGUUCACAUCAGGCAAUGAUUCUUGUGUAUAGCAAACUCACAUUUUGUGAGUGUUUUUUAUAAGGCUAGGCAGCUCUAACGAACAUCUCCAAUCUCAUUUCAUUAGACAUCUCAUUGAUUGGACUCCAAUUAGCUUUUGGAAAAGUCAUUAGCCUAUGGGCUCACAUACUUUUUCCAAUCUACACUGUGAAUGUU